UGUACAGACCCCUGAUGGGCAGGAAUGCCUCCUUUCACCGAGCCUUAUCGGAGCCAAAUGAGUGAACCCCAGGCAGGCCUGAGGAGGCUUCACACGGAGCCUCAGUAGUCAACGCUGGCACUGUUUCUCCCUCAGCCUCUGUCUCCAUCACUUUGAAGCAUUCUACUGGUUUCCUUUCAGACAGGCUGACUGCACAUCCUUGGGAGCCAGCCUUCUGGACUGAGGACUAGAAUCUCAGAUUGAUCCGUCCACUACUCAACUGCAUGGCCUCAGUGAUGUCCACAAGACUCUUGACGUGGGGCCCAUUCACAAGGGCAAGCACCUCCCCACAGAUGCACCUGAAAGCUGUGGACCCUGUGAUUCUCAGGAAUUCGGCUGACUGACGGAGGAAUCCUUCCCAGCAUUACAGAACAGCGGAGAUUCUGGAGAUAUGUAGUCUGGCUCUCCAUUUACUUGAAAAAGAAAAGAGUUGGAGAAUUGUGAAGUUAUUGUCUAUUGCCUGCCAGCAAGCGCACCUGCCCUGUACAGAUGGUUUGACUCCAGGAAGAACACUGACCUCAGUUGGCUUGAAAAUGCAGAAAAAAAAAGUUAAAACCACAAAGUGGCUCCCCUGGAGUGUUAUCAUACCCUUCUACUGGGGUACAGCUCUGGGCAUCCUUGCAGGGGCUCAUUGGCCUGGGAUUGGCAGCUGGGCAUGGCUGUCAUUCAUGCCGUUUGCCACAUUUUCUUCUUUUCCCUCUUUCUGGGUGCAUGGCAGGACUGCUCUAGUCAGUCUCCUCAUGGUUGGGUACAGCCAUGCUGCUGUUUCUGGAGAAUAAGUUAUGGGUUGAAAUAACGCUUCACUUCCAGGCCAGAGCUUUCAUUGCCAGAGUGGGAUUCUCUACAGUGCUUUGCCUUCUGGCCACAGUUACUGAAAUCUUUGAGAUAUUGACAGCCCCGUCAGACUGGAUUCUGUGAGGAGCAGAGUCCCUCUGACAGCCUGAAAUGAACAUGCAUCAUGAACAAGAUAGAAAUCCUUGUUUUCUUAAGCCACUGACUUUAGAGGUUGUUUGUUAUGACAGCAUAACUUAGUCUAUGCUGACCGAUACCCUGGAUGUUCUACUGUCUGCUCUUCAGGGGCUAAAUGGACAGUCUGUGUAUUUAGUUCUUCAAGAACAAGUAGAUACUCUUAUUUUUCGUGAUUCAACACUUUGUAUAGUUUGCCAAAUUAGGUUUUGAUGUUGGAGGCACUGAAAUCCAAAGUCUUAACCAGAGGAGCUGAGGUUGCUUUUUCCAGACUUUUAUUCUGAAAUGAAUUUCCUGCACCAAGGCUACAUCAUGGUGAGCGUUUCUGCCAGUAACAUGGAGACCAGGAGGCAGGCCUUCCUGAAGGAGGUGGUCUGAGGGAGACAGUUCGAGGAGUAAACGAGCAAGCCAGCAAACAACCACAAGCAUUUGCCAUCAGAAAUGGAAGGGGAGAGAGGAGGUGAUGAGGCCCCAAGGGGACACGGCCCAAAUGAUGGUGAAAUUUCCAUGAGGUCCAGGGGACUCAGCAGCUAAGUACACUUAAUGGAUUCAGUUUUGGAGUGGCCAGAUUUUGCUGUGUGGCCAGAUAUCUGCAAAGAAAUGCAUCCCCCAAGAGAGUGACAGAUAUUCCAUCUUAUUAUAUAUGAGUUUGUGAGUAUAAAGCCUUAAUGAGGGUAAUUCUUUACUGCUUGGACUCUGGGAGGCAGCUUAGCUUUUUCACACAGGCUGUUGAAAUCUUUCUUAAAUGUUGAGAUAUCACACAUCUUUCCUGACAUGGUGAGGAAAGUCUUCUUUAUAUCAACAGGUAGGGCCCCCAGGGAGGGAGAGCUGAGCUAGGGCACCCCAAAACUCUGCUGCUCUGCUAGAGACAUAACCAUGGACAGUCAAUGGGCAAAGUUCACUGUCAUCACCUGACCUCUUCCUGUAGUUUCCAGGACACAUUUCCUGCUUCCUUUCUCUUAGCCACUGGUGGGGCUCACCUUAUAAAUGGCCAGUAACAGAAAAUGCAUAUAGCAUUUGGGGUCAGACAGGAAUGGGUCUCAGUUCUCCACUCAAUUUUCCCUGUCCUGCAUAUCUGGCAGACUGUGAGGCUGACAGAGACACUGGAGGUGGGAACACUGUGUGCAGUGGGAGCCCUUGUGCCUUUGUCAUUACUGCUGCUGGUGGUGGCUGUGAUUUAGGUAGGAGAGCUAUAAAGCAGAACAGCUAAGAGAAUGGAAACCUCACAGUUACAUAGUCGCAGUUAUACAAUAGAUGCAGAGGAGAGCUGUGCCAUUCCCCGGCCUACUCCCUCUGCCUCCCAUGGUCCUACCUUUAUUAAUCCGUCUGACACACCAACCCCAGCCCAUUGCACAGUGAGGUAAAAGGCAGCAUGAAGGCUGUGCUGGGUCUCAGAUUUCAGAGCCCCUUCAAAAUGGGUUGAUGAGUGAUAAUCAGGAUUGAAUUCUGUGGUUGUCAGUUACAAGCUGUGUGGCCUCUGCUAAGUGACUAAACCCUUCUGAGCUGUUUCCUUCUCUAUCAUAUAAAAUGGGGUUGAUAAUAAUAGCACUGAUCUUUAUAGAGUGGCCAUAAUAAUUAAAUGGAAUAAUGUAUAGGGUUCCUAGCCUGCUGCAUUGCAUAUAGCAAUAUAUGCUUAUUGUUUUUAUUUUAUUUUGAAAAAGAGAAAGUAAGAGGAGAAAAGAUGGGUGUCUUAGUCCACUCUGGCAGCUAUGACAAAAUACCACAGACAGUGUGGCUUAUAAACAGUAGACAUUUAUUUCUCACAGUUCUGGAGGCUGAGAAGUCAGAUGUGAUGCUUGGUGAGGACCCAUUCCCUGGGGCAUAGGUGGUGCCUUCUGGCUAUGCCCUCACAUGGAGCAAGAGGCCGGCAGCUCUCGAGGCUCCCACACUCAGGACCUAGUCACCUCCCAAAGGCCCCACCUCCUAACACCAUCACAUUAGCUUCCAGCAUGUAAAUUUUAAUUUUUGGAGAACAGGAACAUUCGGACACUAGCAGUGGGAGUGGCACAUGAUGUGAUGGUUAGAUUUUGUUUCCCAUGAACCUUAGAAAGGUCUACAGACUGCAUCUGACUCUCUAAUCACAGAAACUCAUGGUCCAAAGGGGACGUCACUGCCUUUAGGAUCUGUGACCCAGCUCCACCUACGUAGUGACCGCUUUGAAGAGGAACUUAUGCUAAGACAGCCCCUCAGACAGUCCUCAGAGGGAGGAUGCUUUUGACCUCCUCAAGGGGAGGAAGUGGGCAGCGGCCCAGGACAAUUCUCCCUCUGUGUCUGCUGGCAGAUGCGAGGCUUGCAUACACUUUUUUCCUUCUUUAAAUAUGAGCGAACAUUAAAAAGAAGUUCCCGUGAAACAGCUCUGCAGCUCAGAGAAAAUAACAUGUUAUCUGGAGGAUGGAGGAUUUAGAGAAAGAGCAGAUCUCCAAGGCCUUUUUCUACAGGAAACAGAAGACUGUUUUACAAAACAUCUGCCUUGUGUCGUCAAAAAGUCAAGAAGACUGGAAUUCUGUGAAAUGGGAGCGAAAUGCCACAGAGAAAACAUAUGAGUUCUAGGGAGGGUGGAGCCACACGCUAACCCCUGUGACCACAGAGAAAACAUGUGAGUUCUAGGGAGGGUGGAGCCACACGCUAACCCCUGUGACCACAGAGAAAACAUGUGAGUUCUAGGGAGGGUGGAGCCACAUGCUAACCCCUGUGACCACAGAGAAAACAUAUGAGUUCUAGGGAGGGUGGAGCCACAUGCUAACCCCUGUGACAGAGUUCAGGCUUUUCCUGCAGUGCUCACUGUUGCCUUGGUGGGACAGCCGUCUAUAGGAACCACACACAGGGGCAGGGCUCCUACAAGGGCAGCCUGGUCAGCGAGCUGUGACAGGCACUGCCCUGGAAACACAGGACAUAACCCACUCAGCACCAAGCUGGGACCUCCUGUCACCUCUACCUUCAGUUCUAAAUUUAUCCCCACCUCCCCCAUGCACUCCUGGAAACUCACCUGGAAAAUGGAGUGCCUAGGAAUCUCAACUUCUCCAUUCUUUGAUCUUACUUGAGAAAGUCUAACUGGAAGUCAGCAGCCUCUGAUAGACCCCACUCAAUGCUGCAUGGACCUCUCUUUGUAAGGAUAAGCAGGCCAAAAAAAUUUAUAAGUAAAUAAAAAAUCAAAAAAAUCACCCCACACCCGACCCACGUUCCUCCAGGUAGCAGGCUGACUCCAAGAGAAAGGGGAAUUCAUUUGAAACUCUGGAGUUGGAUUCUCAAAAUGUAAGAUGUAAGUUUAGGAAAGAGAACGAUCUUUGGACAAGUGGUCCCUGGACUUAAAAUGAAAAACUUUGCCAAAAAUAAAAAUGGCAGAGAAGGCACAAUGAGCAGAUUGGGUGAUGCAGAAACUUGCCUGAGUGGAAGAUUGGCAGGUCGUUGCCAUGUGGCUGUUAAAGCACAGCAUCAAAGUCCUCCCACAGGGAAAGGAGAAUUAUAGAGGCAUGCAGAGGAUGUACACGAAGACGAGGCGCCAAGGUUAAAUCCAGAGAAGUGCAGAUACUCCCAGAGGAGAUCACAGAAGGGGGCACACAGCAGGCUGCGGCAAUGCACAAAGCUACAGAACCACAGACGUGGGUCCCACACAAUGUUCAAGUGUUUCUCAAAACUAGAACAAAUGGCAAAAGGGUAAGCAAGCACACCUUGGAAACCCCAAAAUGCUAGAAAACAAAAAACAAAAACAACAACAAAAACCAACUCCUGGUAUCACAGAGCAAAUCAGCACUGUAAUUACAGACUAUUUAGGGAAUAAUAACCAACGUACGUGUAUGUGUAUGAGUAUGUGGCUGAAACUAAGGAACAUAAUUAUUUUAUUGAUACUCUUCCAGAAACUGUUGCAGAAAGGAAUACAAUUUCCUAAUCUUCUUGACAGAGAUGGCCUAAACCUGAUAAAAACAUAAUAAAAAUAACAUUUAAAACAUAAAACUAUAGUACAAUCUCCAGGAUGAACACAUGCAGUGUUGUAAAGAUGUCAGUUCUUUCCAUUGAUGUGCAAACUCAGUUUAAUGCUAGUCAAUAACCUAACUUAAUUUCUUUUCAGAAUUUAGCCAAGGGAUUCUAAAAUUUAUCUGGAAGUGAAACAUGCAAGGAAAGCCAAGAAAAUUCUGGAAAAGAUAGAAAUUGUCUGGUAAUUGCUGUAGCUAUUAAAGAGUAUCACAAUGUUUCAAUGGUCAGAAUAGCCUUGAGCUAACCGCAUGGGAGACCGAUCAAUGGGGAGAGGUGGAGCAGAAACAUGUGUCCAGAAACAGAUGUACAUAUGCAGGAAGAUUCCUAAAAUUAAUAAAAAUGGUGUUUAAGUCAGCAUUGCAAGGGUUUAUUACUCAGUAUGAUACACCAGCCCAGCUCGUUACUUAUUUGGCAAAAUACUGACAACAAAAAUUGCAACAGCAAUAAGUAUAAAUCUUUAUCAGAUUAAUUACAUGUAAAAUAAAAGAGCCAUAAAAACAUUAGAAGGACUUGCAGGAGAAUAACUUUGUAAGUUUAGGCUAGGGGCAGGGGACCUCUAAAACCAAGAUUUUAGAGUCAGAAACCUUAAGGGAAAUUUUGAUAGAUUUGACUCAAAUUAAUGAAAAAAACUCUUCAGAAUGGAAAAUAUAAUAAUAAAAAUUUCAAAUAAAGCUGAAUUGGGAAAAUAAGAC